CUCCGUGUGUUGAGUACAUAGCGAACUAUUCUUUCGCCUUUUACUAAAGAAUACCGUGUGCUCGUCACUAUCAAGCGGCAUACACCAUUUUUUGGAGGGUUGUCUUAUCGACAACCC